UCCAACUGGCCAGGCUUGAAGCUAAGGGGGAAUUACAGCAGCCAGCGUUUGCACAGGGUGAAGACCCAAGGCUGGUUAGGGAUGCGACACCCGAGGAGAGGAGCGCUCUGCCAGCCCACUGAGCCUUUCUUGUGGCAAUGCUGUUACCUUCCGGUGGGGCUAAGGGCUCCAACAUGGCUCGGGCUGGGGCUAACAAGUUACUGCUCUUUGAGAAUCUCCAUGCUGGUCCCAGGAUUCCACGCCCACGAGACAAGAAUUCCCAUCCAUGUUUCACAGUAAGGAGGCUCCCAGAGCAAGUCACCAGCCCAGUGCCAGGCCUGAGCCCUCGGCCUCUGCCAGAGCGAAGCGUGUGCCCCACUGGAGAGGAAGAAGGCUCAGAUCGGUGCCUUCCUGAGAAGGAAGAGCUCAGCAGCUCAGGAUUUCCAUCUGGAGGCUUGUGAGAAGUGGCUCAAGCGUCCCUCUUCCCCCUGUGGAUUUUCGUGACCUCUGCUUUAUCUCAUCCCCAUUAACCAUGUGACUCUGGCUCUGUAAUCUGCCCUUCUAAAGGUGGGAAAGGUGAGUUCCCUGACAGCACUGUGCUGGUGCCCAGCUGCCCCCUGGUCCCGGACACAGAAACAGAACCCAAGCUUCAUCCUAGCGGGGACCUCCUGCCCACCGGACCUUGGCCACCUCCUACCUUGGGGAAAGCAAAGCUCUUGCCAGAUGGGGCUUCCUGUGCCUCUUGCGGGGCCAUGUCCCCCAAAUCCAGCUGGCCGGCAUAAAAGGAGCUCAGUAAAUCCCUGAUGAAUGAAUGAAUAGAUCAAUGAAAGAAUAAAAGCUACCUAGCAUAUAAUCCUGGAAAAA